rnacentral:rRNA from 1 species
CCUACGGGGCGCAGCAGGCGCGAAACCUCCACAAUGCGCGAAAGCGUGAUGGGGUUAGCCCGAGUGCCGUCCGAAAAGGAUGGCUUUUCCUUGGUGUAAAAACCCAGGGGAAUAAAGGGGGGGCAAGACUGGUGUCAGCCGCCGCGGUAA